UAGUCCACGCCGUAAACGAUGAAUACUAGGUGUAGGAGGUAUCGACCCCUUCUGUGCCGCCGCUAACGCAUUAAGUAUUCCGCCUGGGGAGUACGGUCGCAAGAUUAAAACUCAAAGGAAUUGACGGGGGCCCGCACAAGCAGCGGAGCAUGUGGUUUAAUUCGAAGCAACGCGAAGAACCUUACCUAGACUUGACAUCCCUUGCAUACCAUAGAGAUAUGGGAAGUCCUUCGGGACAAGGUGACAGGUGGUGCAUGGUUGUCGUCAGCUCGUGUCGUGAGAUGUUGGGUUAAGUCCCGCAACGAGCGCAACCCUUAUUGUUAGUUGCUACCAUUUAGUUGAGCACUCUAACGAGACUGCCCGGGUUAACCGGGAGGAAGGUGGGGAUGACGUCAAAUCAUCAUGCCCCUUAUGUCUAGGGCUACACACGUGCUACAAUGGUAAGUACAGAGAGAUGCAAUACCGCAAGGUGGAGCAAAACUCAAAAACUUAUCCCAGUUCGGAUUGUAGGCUGAAACUCGCCUA
rnacentral:rRNA from 1 species